GCGGGGAUGGCAGAGCGGCUAUGCGGCGGGCUGCAGACCCGCAGAGACGGGUUCGACUCCCGUUCCCCGCU
rnacentral:tRNA from 1 species